rnacentral:rRNA from 1 species
GACGAACGCUGGCGGCGUGCUUAACACAUGCAAGUCGAACGGAAAGGCCCUGCUUUUGUGGGGUGCUCGAGGGGCGAACGGGUGAGUAACACGUGAGUAACCUGCCCUUGACUUUGGGAUAACUUCAGGAAACUGGGGCUAAUACCGGAUAGGAGCUCCUGCUGCAUGGUGGGGGUUGGAAAGUUUCGGCGGUUGGGGAUGGACUCGCGGCUUAUCAGCUUGUUGGUGGGGUAGUGGCUUACCAAGGCUUUGACGGGUAGGCGGCCUGAGAGGGUGACCGGCCACAUUGGGACUGAGAGACGGCCCAGUCUCCUACGGGAGGCAGCAGGGGGGAGUAUUGCACAAUGGGCGGAAGCCUGAUGCAGCAACGCCGCGUGCGGGAUGACGGCCUUCGGGUUGUAAACCGCUUUCGCCUGUGACGAAGCGUGAGUGACGGUAAUGGGUAAAGAAGCACCGGCUAACUACGUG